GCGAAGUGAUGAUAGCAAUUCAUUAGUCUGUCAAUCCACUGAUAUUAGUGUGAUGUUACAAUGAAUCCCGACAGGUUCUGAUCGC